UUUUUCGAUACGAAAGGAAAUUCCACAUUUGAUACUUGAUGGUUGUACUUUGCAGUUACAUCACGUCCGACUUCAGAGCUAAUACCUUGAAAACUACGGAGAGAAAAAACUUAUCUAUCCCUUCUGCUCGAUCAUCUUCCUAGAAGAUUCACUAAAACAAGGAAAAGGGGUACUGGGUCUUGAUUACUUGUUCAGUCUGAGCAAGAAAUUUCAAGAUUUGGUGAAGAAAAGGUAGAGACCAUGGCAGUGCCAUGGGGGAUGACCCUUUGGAUGGCAAGGAUGGUGUGGUUGGCCCUGAGUGGUUGGAUCACAUCAUGCUUGACUGUUGCUGAUGAGAUCGCUGGAUCUCUUCGAACUGGUGAUAUGGGUCCUUCUCAUAUUGGGUGAUUCAAGAAUUGUACAGUGAAAUUAAGCCAAUUCUCUGGUUUGUCCUUGUGAAUUUGCUGUUCAAGUCCAGGUUUUCCUCACAAUAUAGGUUGAUUGACAAAGGUGGCAAGCACUGUCCAAGAGAGCAUCCCAAAUUUUCCUUUUCAAUGGUUUCAAACAGUGAAUUGGCCAAUACUUUUACAUGUUGGGAUAUACUGUUCUGCUAUCAUAUUUCUCAGCAUUGUGUAACGAUUUUCUGGUAAUAUUGUGAUUCAAUGGCUUGACCUUUUUUUGUGCCUUUGUGAUUUUCAUUUUUAGUGGCUGGAAUAGCUGCUGGAUGAUAUUUUGAUUUUUUCACUGAACUAAAAUCCUGUAAAAAUAUGUUAAACCCAUAUA